rnacentral:lncRNA from 1 species
CGACGCUUGUGACUGUUGUUGCUGUUGCAUGGCCUGCACUACUUCAGUGAGGCCCCUGACCUGCUGAACCAGCAGGUCGAAUUGCUCCGCUCCGACCGUUGUUGCCGGAGGAGGAGGGGCCUGAGAAACUGGAGGUGAGGCCAGAGCCUAAGAUAUGGCCGUGGAGGCCGUGGAUCACCUGGUGGAUGCUCUGCGGGGAGGCAUCAGGUGAGGGUCUAGUAGAAGAAGGAGAAGAGAAUGUCAGAGAAGAUGAUCGGAAUCGAUCCCGUUGAGCACUCCUUUAAGAACAAGGG